GCUCCGGCCGCCGCCUCACAGUGACUGGGGAGAGGAAGGAGGCGAGGGGCCCGACGGGAGCGGGGAGGAGCCUCGCGUCUCAGUGCUGCUGAGUUUGAAUCAGUUCGAAAAGUAGGUGUAUGGGAACUGUUGAAUCACGGCCUGAACCUCUGAUUGACCCCCUGAGGCGUGUGCUGAGUCAGCUGCAGGGGCACAGGUGAAAGCAAUUGGCUCCACCCCUCCUAGACCCCAUUUAAGGGCUGACUCAGAAGGAGGAAGGCUCUCUACCUGGAGAUUACUCCUCUUGGAGCCCUUCUGUGAGCCCAAGACAUGGGCAAAACUGGCAGUUAAACAAGCCCAGGCAUUGGGUAUAUUUGAUCCUACCCUCCCAGACGAAUUGGAUGUUCAUGUCACUCAGGAUGGCUUUGGCUGGGGCCUGUGACAACACUAGAGUUCUGUUUGGACACCCAUUGGAUUCUGGUCCCAGGUCUGGCACGGAGCUGAAGAAAGAUAUAGUAUGACUGAAAAACAGUUAUUGGCUGUCUACUCCGCAUCCCAGGCGGUAGAGCUGAUAACCCAAGUGGCUAAAAUCAUAGUUAAGACUACCCUGUCAGUUCUGGGGUGGGUGAAAAAUCUGACCCACCUUCCUAAGAUUGAGUGGCCCAAGCACAAUCAGUAGCAUGAUGGGUUGCCUGUCUCAGCCAGAGGAGUAGUCUGUCUUCACCACUGAUAGAACUCCAGAAGAUCCUAGGCCCAGUGACGUAUAACACUGAUGCACCAAAAAUAACAUUGGUCUCUCCACCAGGAGGGAAAAUAUCUGAUCCCUAAAUAUGCCUGGUGCACAGAUGAAUCCAGCAAGGGCAACGCAAGCAAGUGGAGAGCGAUAGCAUACCAUCCCUCCACCAAGACAAUCUGCUUUGAUGAGGGGGGAUGGUCAGAGCAGCCAAUGGGCAGAACUGUGAGCUGUGUGGAUGAUUAUGACCAAGGAACUCGGUGAUGGUAUCCUGAACAUCUGCACAGAUAGUUGGGCUGUGUACUGGGGACUCACUCUUUGGAUUGCACAGUGGGCCAUCCAGGAAUGGACUAUCAGCACCUUACAAAUCAGGUGCAAAGAUAUGUGGUUAGACAUAUGGAAUAAGUUAAACACAGGACUGUACGUGUCUACCAUGUUUCUGGUCACCAAUCCCUACAGUCACUGGGAAAUGAUGAAGCUGACACACUGGCCUGAGUUUGAUGGAUUGAGAAUUCACCAUCUGAGAACAUCGCCUGUGGUUACAUCAGAAGCUUUGGCAUGCUGGACAAAAGACAAUAUGGGCAGCUGCUAAAGCAUGGGGGCUGCCCAUACAACUAUUUUACAUUGCCCAGGUAUGCUGAGACUGUGAUGCUUGCUUCAAGAUAAGACUGAGAUCAUUGCCCAGAGCAACAGCCCAUCUUGCUAGAGCAUGCAACCCUCUCCAGAGAUGGCAGGUUGAUUACAUUGGGCCCCUCCCUUGGUCUGAGGGGGUGAGAUAUUCCCUGACCUGCAAAUGGGCUAAUUCAGGCCUAUCCAGUACCAAAAGCAAACCAGGCGUAUACCAUCAAGGCACUUACUAAACUGAUGUCUGCCUACAGGACACCUCAAGUCAUUGAGAGUGACCGAGGGACCCAUUUUACUGGUGCAGUGAUACAAUGCUGGGCAGAAGAAAACAUUGAAUGGUGAUUCCACCUGCCAUAUAAUCCAAUGGGGACAGGUCUCAUUGAACAUUAUAAUGGUAUUCUUAAGGCUGCUGUAAAGACAGACUCUCAGUCCCUGCGGAUAAAGAGUUUAUCCUGGUGGAUAAAGAGACUCUAUGAAACCCUGUGGGACUUGAAUGAAAGUCCUAGAGAUGGCAGACCCAGUGCUCAGAAAAUGCUACAGACAUGGGCCUCCCUGCUUAGGAUCCAUAUUACAGGCACUGAUAAUCAGGAUCACCGGAAGGAAUGAAAUGCCUUUGAAGCGUUCCAGUGUUGCUGUGGGAUCAUGUGUGACACCAGGUGAUGGUCUACAUGGGACUGAUGGAGCAUAGGAUGGACCUCCACCACACGACUACAUACCUCCAGUAACACCACCAAGCACUAGCCCAUAAAAGAGCAUGAACUUUCACCUUACACCAAUAAUCACUUGUCUUAAAUGUUGUCAAUAUGCAUCACAAUGAGAAAUUGUAUAAGCAUUGUGAUAUGUUGGAUUUCUGUAUUAUGGAGCACUUACCUUUAGUUAACUUGAUCGUUGGUUCACGCCAUGAAGUGGUGGAGUGUAUGGGAACUGUUGAAUCAUGGCCUGAACCACUGAUUGAUCACUUGAGGCAAGUACUGAGUCAGCUGCAGGAGCACAGGUGAAGGCAAUUCACAUGUGUGAUCGGAAGAGGUGGAGUCUGGCUCCACCUCUCCUAGACCCCAUUUAAGGGCUGACUGCCACUAAGGAAGGAUCUCUUUCUGGAGACUGCUCCCUUCGGAGUUUUUCUGCGAGCCUACGACAUGGGAUCCCACAGGUGUUCAAGAGUGAAAUCCCAUGACAGACAUGGAAAUGUAUACGAGGCAAAGUUAAAGAAACAGACUGCAAUCCCUCCCACUGAGGAUGUACUUCAGCUGAGCACCAUGAUCCAUGGUAGAUGUCA
rnacentral:lncRNA from 1 species